rnacentral:rRNA from 1 species
GAUGAACGCUGGCGGCGUGCCUAAUACAUGCAAGUCGAGCGAACAGACGAGGAGCUUGCUCCUCUGACGUUAGCGGCGGACGGGUGAGUAACACGUGGAUAACCUACCUAUAAGACUGGGAUGACUUCGGGAAACCGGAGCUAAUACCGGAUAAUAUAUUGAACCGCAUGGUUCAAUAGUGAAAGACGGUUUUGCUGUCACUUAUAGAUGGAUCCGCGCCGCAUUAGCUAGUUGGUAAGGUAACGGCUUACCAAGGCAACGAUGCGUAGCCGACCUGAGAGGGUGAUCGGCCACACUGGAACUGAGACACGGUCCAGACUCCUACGGGAGGCAGCAGUAGGGAAUCUUCCGCAAUGGGCGAAAGCCUGACGGAGCAACGCCGCGUGAGUGAUGAAGGUCUUCGGAUCGUAAAACUCUGUUAUUAGGGAAGAAAAAAUGUGUAAGUAAAUAUGCACGUCUUGACGGUACCUAAUCAGAAAGCAACGGCUAACUACGUG